UACGUAGGGCGCAAGCGUUGUCCGGAUUUACUGGGCGUAAAGAGCGCGCAGGCGGCUGGUCAAGUCCGAUGUGAAAUCUCCCGGCUCAACUGGGAAACUGCAUCGGAAACUGAUCGGCUUGAAGAUGGGAGAGGGUAGUGGAAUUCCCGGUGUAGUGGUGAAAUGCGUAGAUAUCGGGAGGAACACCAGUGGCGAAGGCGACUACCUGGCCCAUUCUUGACGCUGAGGCGCGAAAGCUAGGGGAGCGAACGGG
rnacentral:rRNA from 1 species